rnacentral:rRNA from 1 species
UGGGGAAUAUUGCACAAUGGGCGCAAGCCUGAUGCAGCCAUGCCGCGUGUAUGAAGAAGGCCUUCGGGUUGUAAAGUACUUUCAGCGGGGAGGAAGGGAGUAAAGUUAAUACCUUUGCUCAUUGACGUUACCCGCAGAAGAAGCACCGGCUAACUCCGUGCCAGCAGCCGCGGUAAUACGGAGGGUGCAAGCGUUAAUCGGAAUUACUGGGCGUAAAGCGCACGCAGGCGGUUUGUUAAGUCAGAUGUGAAAUCCCCGGGCUCAAACUGGGAACUGCAUUCGAAACUGGCAGGCUAGAGUCUUGUAGAGGGGGGUAGAAUUCCAGGUGUAGCGGUGAAAUGCGUAGAGAUCUGGAGGAAUACCGGUGGCGAAGGCGGCCCCCUGGACGAAGACUGACGCUCAGGUGCGAAAGCGUGGGGAGCAAACAGG